UCAUAAUUAAGAUAUUGGGGGCUGUUUGGUAACUUUUGUACCUAAGUUGUAAGGAUUUUAAGGCUAAGGGUCCAAAUGGUAAUCAUCGGGUUUAUUUUGAAAGGAAUGGGGAAGGGAGGGACCACUUUUGGCGUUAUGAAAAACUAAUUAUGGGGAUCGGAGUAUUUAAACCCGUCACCCUGGUGAAGCCCUAACCCUAACAUCUUUAUGUCUAGCCGCAACUUGUACCUCUCGCUUCCAGCCUCCAAGCUCUCGGCCGCCACCUUCUAGCCGCCGUGACGCCGCUGCUAUCACCAGAGAUGCUUCCCCGACGAGUGCCAUUGAACCUGUGACUUGCUGAAGACCGACCAAAUCGCCUCCGAACCAUGGUCGGAAUCGCGAGUCCUACCAAGCUACCGCCGCUGGUGGUGUGAAGAUCUGCGAGGUCACAAUCUUGUUCCGUCGGUGUCACCACUGUGGACGAGGACUCAAAUCGACCACCACGUCUGUUGUAGCUAUCCAUAUCGCUAUUCAUCUUAUUCUUUUCUAUUUACCAUGUCGCCUGCCGCCUCGUGGGCGGGGGAGCUCGUGGCGUUCCUUCUAUCACCGGAGAAUAAGGGCAUGGUUCAGGGCUUGUGUUUGCGACGUGAACGCGCUGUGGGGGAGUUCUGUCGAGUUAGGGUCGCGAGAACCACCAUUGCAGCUGACCAUGGUGGUUGUCACCGUGAAACGGCCACUGCUGCCUCCGUAUGUCACCAGGAGGGUGGCUAAGUGAUUCAACCAGAAGUAUGGAUGGGUGUGCUUUUGUUUCCUCGGUGGACAUGUGUGUGUAUAGUGUAGCUUGGCCGGAAAAACCGAGAACCACCACCACCGGCCACCACAAGGUGGUUGUGUGUGUAUGUUUAUAUUUGUAUGUGUGAGUGUGUGUUAUUGAGUUGUAAAGUGUAAUGAUGCCCAAAAUAAUAAUAGAAAACUAUAACCACCACCAUGAGAUGGUGGCUGCCGCCUCCUGCUACCACCGGCCACCGUGUCGGGUGGCGGUGUGCUUGCCUCAUUGAGUUUGAUUCGUUUGGGGUGCUUGAAACCCUAAUGGGCCUUGUAAGCCCUAAUGGACCCCAUGAAGCUUAAUGGACCUAAAAGCCCAAGCAUGUGACUAAUGGGCUUAAUGAUAUUCUAGUGGGCCUAAUAUGCCGAAUAAAACCCUAAUUGACCUAAAAGCCCAACAAAUAGAUAAAUGGGCUAAUAUUUGGCUUGGAAACCCUAAUUAGGGUUUGGAAAACCCUAAUACCAAUAAAACCCUAAUUUUGAGAAUUUAUCGGGACACACGGGAAUUAUUUAAUAACUUGAGAUAUUAAAUAAUAAUCAUUGGCAAAAAUUAAUCUAAGCAAUAUUGGACUUAAUGGAUUAAGUCCAUAGUGGAUUAAGUCCUUAAUGGGUUAAGUGAGAAACACUUAACCCUAAUCAUCAUUUUAUGUGGAACCCUAAUUUCACUUGGUCCUUGAGUUGGGCCUUUCCAUUGGGCCUUGGUGAUGGGAUUAUUAAUGGGCCAUCCAAGAAUAAUCAUAUGGAUUAGAAUAUGUUGUUGGACUUUAGGGUAAGGCUCAUAUGAGAGUUUGGGCCCAAUUUGGAAAAUUGGGCCAUAGAUGGACCACAGUUUGGGUCUUAAUGAUUACAUGAUGUCAGGCCUUUGAAUAAGACCAUGUAUAGUCUUGGGCUCAAUUUAGAAAAUUGGGCCAUAUGUUGGGAUUUGAUUCCUAAUUGACUUUGGGCCUAUGGAUUGGGCCUUGGGCUUGAAUAGACCAAGCUUGGGGUAUUGUAGUAAUUAUCCAAAGAAUGAACUUAUGGUUAUGUGUUGGGAUCCAAUUAUUAAUUGGGUGAUGUUUUGAUAUUGACAGAUCGGGAUUCUGUCAUCCAACAACUGGGAUUGUGUCUACGGGACUUCAGCAAUGUGAGGUGAGUUACCUUCCAGUAGAAGUGGGUCUAAGGCCACAAUGUCGGCCCACUAGUAGGAGCUGUAUGAUAGAUGAUUGUCUUUGUGAUAAUCAUCUAGGUUUGCUACUACCUGAUGUGUUUUAUGUGUUAGCAUGAUAUGAUGUUAUGUGAUAGUGGUAGUAGAGGGAAUAGUCCCCGGUUACUGGUCGAUAGGGCCGAAGGGGUAGUUUAGUACCAUCUAUGCUAGACAGAUUAUGAUACAUGUGCUAUGAUAUUAUGUGGUAGUAGUAGGGGUGAAAUAGUCCCCGAAUACCGGUUGAAAGAUAUCGAAGGGGUAGGUCGGGCACCCAGAUAUGCCUGACAAUAUAUUCAUGUAUAUUAUGUUAUGUUAUUAUGUGGUAGUG
rnacentral:lncRNA from 1 species